GGAGAGGUCGCAUAGUGGUCUAGUGCGGCGGUUUCGAAAACCGCUGUGGGGAAUUUUCUCUACCGAGGGUUCGAAUCCCUCCCUCUCCGCCA
rnacentral:tRNA from 1 species